AAAAUAUGUUUGACGUGUGGAAGUUUUAAUAACCGCACAUUUGCCUUUCCUUUGAGCAUCCAAAUCAACAACUGCGCCGUCUUCUUGUCCCAUAUCUUGAGGGUCGAUGUCUAACAGCUCUAUGACAUUAGCCACCAGAUAAGAGUCAACUUUAUAACAACACACCUUCUAUUCCCUUCAAUACGUUUGCAACAGUGAGCAAGAGUGAGCUGGUGUGAGCCGGGGGCGAGCUGGAGUGGGAAUAGCACAGGCGACAUAACGGCAUAACCUCAUCGAAUCUUGUUACUUUAGGUUGCUUUAGGACCUCAAGUUUAGGUCGUCGGUAAGAAGGAAAAGAACGUGCGUUAUUCUUUUCCCAAGAUUAUGGGAGAAGAGGAAGACGAGCGAACAAAUAUACGAAGGUUGUGGGAUGUGGCACGUAAAACAAGGAAGAAAAGAAAGAUAAGUGAUCGGAGACGUUAGCGGAGGUUAUCGGAUGGGAGAUGUCAAUCGAGGUUAUUCCUUUUUGAAGUGAAGUUUUUUUUUUCUGUUCAAGAU